UGUACACACCGCCCGUCACGCCAUGGAAGCUGGAGGGACCCGAAACCGGUGGGCCAACCGCAGGGGGGCAGCCGUUCUAAGGUCAAUUCAGUGACUGGGGCGAAGUCGUAACAAGGUAGCCGUAGGGGAACCUGCGGCUGGAUCACCUCCUU
rnacentral:rRNA from 1 species